CAGGGUUUAGGUGGGCAUCAGAGCCAGGGUUUAGUAUUGGAACCAGGAUUAGGGGGGGGAUCAGAACCAGAGUUAGGAUCAGAACCAGGUUUAGUACCAGAACCAGGGUUAGGUGGGCAUCAGAACCAGGUUUAGGUAGGGAUCUGAGCCUGGCUUAGUAUCAGAACCAGGUUUAGGGGGGAAUCAGAGAUCAGAGCCUGGUUUAGGUAGGGAUCAGAACCAGGUUUAGGGGGGGAUCAGAACCAGGUUUAGGGGGGAUCAGAGCCAGGUUUAGUCUCAGAGCCAGGUUUAGGUGGGGAUCAGAGCCAGGUUUAGCCUCAGAGCCAGGUUUAGUCUCAGAGCCAGGUUUAGGUGGGGAUCAGAGCCAGGUUUAGUCUCAGAGCCAGGUUUAGUCUCAGAGCCAGGUUUAGUCUCAGAGCCAGGUUUAGGGGGGGAUCAGAGCCAGGUUUAGUCUCAGAGCCAGGUUUAGGU